CUACUUUCCAGAACUACCGUUCCAAUGGAAGGCAGAAACAAAGUCAAAAGCUAUUGUGAUCAUGACAUCAGCCUCUCUGCCCGUUGCAGCAGCCCCAUGGCAUUUUUAUGAAGAGGCAAUACUCUUGCAGGACUUUUUCCUCCUUUAACGGAGACAGGGAAUGAUUCUGGCUAGAUCCUGUCCAAGGCCUUUGACAGUAUCUGAAAAAGAAUCCACUCCAAAAUCAAGAGCCUGUUUGGGACGGGCUGAAAACAUCGUUGGGUUCAUAAUAAAAAUGAAUCCCUCCAUCCUUAACCAUAGAAGAUUUAUACCGCCUCUAUGCAUCAUUGAAAUUCUAGAUGUUGAGCAGCAGGCUAAUGGAUCCCCAGCAGGGUGCAAAGACAGCAGAAAGCACAGGAAUCAGAUGUCAAUGUGUUCCUUCAAGAUACCCUGCUAGGACAGAGCUAACUAACCGGGCUUUAGUCUUCUCUUGGGGCACACGCUCUGAUGGUUCGCGGCCCACUCUGGACUUCCUAUACGCUUCCUGAUUAAAAUGCUGUCACAGAUAAAUCAUGACUUCUGCCUGUUAGGACCAUUUACUGUUCUCUUUAAAGAAGAGUUUGGAACCAUCAGAUUAAAAAGAUGAGGCAAGUUCUGGAGAAUUA